GAUCCUGGCUCAGAACGAACGCUGGUGGCGUGUCUUAUACAUGCAAGUCGAGCGAGGCAGCAAUGCCGAGCGGCGAACGGGUGAGUAACGCGUAAGCAAUCUGCCCCAUAUCAGGAAAUACCCGUGCCAACGCGCGGUUAAUGUCCAGGAGAGUGGCUCCUUGCAUGAGGAGUUGACUAGAGAUUUAUCGGUAUGGGAUGAGCUUGCGUCCGAUUAGCUAGUUGGCGGGGCAACGGCCCACCAAGGCGACGAUCGGUAGCCGGCCUGAGAGGGUGAUCGGCCACAUUGGGACUGAGAUACGGCCCAGACUCCUACGGGAGGCAGCAGUAGGGAAUAUUGCACAAUGGGGGGAACCCUGAUGCAGCAACGCCACGUGUGGGAAGAAGCAUUUCGGUGUGUAAACCACUGUCAUGAGGGAAUAAGGCCCGCCUCCGGGCGGGAUUGAAUGUACCUUGAGAGGAAGCACCGGCAAACUUCGUGCCAGCAGCCGC
rnacentral:rRNA from 1 species